rnacentral:rRNA from 1 species
AGAGUUUGAUCCUGGCUCAGGAUGAACGCUAGCUACAGGCUUAACACAUGCAAGUCGAGGGGAAACGACAUCGAAAGCUUGCUUUUUGAUGGGCGUCGACCGGCGUACGGGUGAGUAACGCGUAUCCAACCUGCCCACCGCUUGGGGAUAACCUUGCGAAAGUAAGACUAAUACCCAAUGAUAUCUCUAGAAGACAUCUGAAAAGAGAUUAAAAGAUUUAUCGGUGAUGGAUGGGGAUGCGUCUGAUUAGCUUGUUGGCGGGGUAACGGCCCACCAAGGCAACGAUCAGUAGGGGUUCUGAGAGGAAGGUCCCCCACAUUGGAACUGAGACACGGUCCAAACUCCUACGGGAGGCAGCA